rnacentral:tRNA from 1 species
ACCCACGUGGCCUAAUGGAUAAGGUGUCUGACUUCUAAUCAGAUGAUUGUCGGUUCGACGCCGGCCGUGGGCU